rnacentral:rRNA from 1 species
GACGGAAGGUGCAAGCGUUGCUCGGAAUCACUGGGCGUAAAGGGUGCGUAGGCGGCGCGGUAAGUCGGAUGUGAAAUCUCGGAGCUUAACUUCGAAACUGCAUUCGAUACUGCCGUGCUUGAGGACUGGAGAGGAGACUGGAAUUUACGGUGUAGCGGUGAAAUGCGUAGAUAUCGUAAGGAAGACCAGUGGCGAAGGCGGGUCUCUGGACAGUUCCUGACGCUGAGGCACGAAGGUCAGGGGAGCAAACGGG